rnacentral:lncRNA from 1 species
CAGCAUAAUUAAACAACAGCAAGAAAUUUUUUUGUUAGGUGUCAAACAGCCAUGGAAGAAUGGAUUUGAACAUGUAGCCAGGAGCGGUAUGGCCAGGAACGGAACCCAACGUUAGAGUCUUGGACAAGAAGGUGUUAGCAGAUAUGGAUGAGGAUCAGAGGUGGGAUCACACAUGAGCCAAUUAUGAGGAUCAGAUCAAGAUGGGGGAAUGAACAUAUGCUUAGUACAGAGCAUGAGGUAUCUCCAGAGCAAAGGAAAAGCAGAUUUUAUAAGAUUGUUUCCUUCAGAGAAUCUCCAUUAGAAGCACAGAAGCCAGUCCUGAAGGGAAGAGGAGAGCAAACACCUCCAGGUUCCACCAGGUCAGUAGAGAGAGACUGAUUGUUUUCUGUUUCAGCAUGUGAAGCCCCUCGUGCCUUCUUAGAGCUCUCCAUGGUUCUGAUCUCUGCCUCUUAUCAACGCUAAAUUUGUAAUCCAGGUUCAACCCGCUAAUAUGUGCCUUAGCCAAUCUUGCCCCAUCCAACAUAGAUCAACCCAUUUUUCACCAACUUGCAUAUAUGUGAAAUUAUCCAAGGAUAGUAUUCUGUUAACUUUCAAGCAAAGAAUUUGAGCCCGCUGGAGGUGCUCAAAAAGUGCCAAUUCUCACUCUUAUAUAUUCAUUUAAUUCUAUUCUCUAAUCCAUCAUUUUAGCCCAUGCUUACACUCUGAACCAUUAAGUACUCUCUACUUAGUGCCUAACAAAUAAUACAACUUAAUAAUAUUAAUGAUAUUUAUAGAGUGCUUAUUAUGUGUCAGGACCAUGUGUAAUCUCAUUGAAUCCUCACUGCAGCCCUCAAGGGAGCUGUUAUUAUUGUUCCUGCUUCACAGAUAUGGAAAUUGAGAAACAGAAAGAUCGAGUAAUUUGCCCAAACUUACACAAAUAGUGGUGAAACUCGCAUAAUAGAGCUCAAAUGAAUGAAUGAACAAAUGAAACAUGGAAGAAUGAUAGUUAGUGGGAGACAUGUUCAUCAUUGUGAAGAAAUGGAGUAUUCAUCAAGUGCCCUUUAUGUAUCAGAUAUUCUGCUAUGUUUCUUAAACACAGAGCUUCAUCAAUCUUCCCUAACUCUGUGAAGGAGGCAUCUUCAAAUUCAGUGAAGAGUCUUGACUGUUAGAUAGUAGCUCUAAAAGAACCAGGGAUCACUAGAUGACAUGAGACCCCAUGAAUCUGGAUCAGGAAGGAAAGUCCUCAAGACUUGGUAAAGCUUUGGAACCCACUUACCUUUUUAAACCUUUAGAUAUUGAGGGCCUCAGAUGGGUCGCAACAAGUUUUCAGAGUCAUUACUACUUUUUGUAGAUCCCAAUCUCAGGAGGGAUUCAUGCAAUACAAUUUGAAUGAUUGCAC